rnacentral:rRNA from 1 species
UGGGGGAUAUUGCACAAUGGGCGCAAGCCUGAUGCAGCGACGCCGCGUGGGGGAUGAAGGCCUUCGGGUUGUAAACUUCUUUUGCUCUGAACAAGGCGCACUUUGGGGUGUGUUGAGUGUAGGGGUUGAUUAGCGCCGGCUAACUACGUGCCAGCAGCCGCGGUAAUACGUAGGGCGCGAGCGUUGUCCGGAAUUAUUGGGCGUAAAGGGCUUGUAGGUGGCUGGUUGCGUCUGUCGUGAAAGCUCAUGGCUUAACUGUGGGUUUGCGGUGGGUACGGGCUGGCUUGAGUGCAGUAGGGGAGGCUGGAAUUCCUGGUGUAGCGGUGGAAUGCGCAGAUAUCAGGAUGAAUACCGGUGGCGAAGGCGAGUCUCUGGGCUGUUACUGACACUGAGGAGCGAAAGCAUGGGGAGCGAACAGG